rnacentral:rRNA from 1 species
UACAGAGGUCCCAAGCGUUGUUCGGAUUCACUGGGCGUAAAGGGUGCGUAGGCGGUCGGGUAAGUCUGAUGUGAAAUCUCACAGCUUAACUGUGAGACUGCAUUGGAUACUAUUCGGCUAGAGGAAUGGAGGGGAGACUGGAAUACUUGGUGUAGCAGUGAAAUGCGUAGAUAUCAAGUGGAACACCAGUGGCGAAGGCGAGUCUCUGGACAUUUCCUGACGCUGAGGCACGAAAGCCAGGGGAGCAAACGGG